rnacentral:rRNA from 1 species
UACGUAGGGUGCAAGCGUUAAUCGGAAUUACUGGGCGUAAAGCGUGCGCAGGCGGUUAUGCAAGACAGAUGUGAAAUCCCCGGGCUUAACCUGGGAACUGCAUUUGUGACUGCAUAGCUGGAGUGCGGCAGAGGGGGAUGGAAUUCCGCGUGUAGCAGUGAAAUGCGUAGAUAUGCGGAGGAACACCGAUGGCGAAGGCAAUCCCCUGGGCCUGCACUGACGCUCAUGCGCGAAAGCGUGGGGAGCAAACAGG